AUUGAACGCUGGCGGUAUGCUUAACACAUGCAAGUCGAACGGUAACAGGCCUUCGGGCGUCGACGAGUGGCGGACGGGUGCGUAACGCGUAGGAACCUGCCUCAUCGUGGGGGACAACGUGGGGAAACACACGCUAAUACCGCAUACGCCCUACCGGGGAAAUCGGGGGACCUUCGGGCCUCGCGCUAUGAGAAGAGCGGGCGUGGGACUAGCUAGUUGGUAGGGUAAGGGCCUCCCAAGGCGGCGAUCCCUAGCUGGUCGGAGAGGACGAUCAGCGACACUGGGACUGAAACACGGCCCGGACUCCUACGGAAGGCAGCGGUGGGAAAUAUUGGACAAUGGGCGCACGCAUGAUCCAGCAAUACCGCGUGUGUGGAGAAGGCCUGAGGGUUGUAAAGCACUUUUAAGCGGGAGGAACAUCUGCGGGCGAAUACCUCGUAUUCUGGCAUUACCGAUAGAAAAAGCACCGGCUAACUCCGUGCCAGCCGCCGCAGUAAGAC
rnacentral:rRNA from 1 species